AUGAGUGGUGUUUGGUUUGAUACGGGUGGUCGGCUCCCUGCUUGAGCAGGCACGGCCACGCGUGCAUUCCUUUUCAGUUGUGCGGCAAGGCUUGUANCGUCUUGAUCGUAUAAGUGGGUUUCUUGUGUUGCAUACCUGAUCAAUGGCAUCGUUUUGAUCAAAAUGGUUCCUUUUUCGUCUGACGAUGCACUUAUUGCGUUGUCGGAUGAACCGUGUAGCAUCCUCUUUGAUCCAUACAGUUGACGUGUACUCGUUGAUUGUUUGGCCCGUUGAGGGUGACUUGGUCUCUCGGAUAUGGAAGCCAAGGUGGGCAUGGGUUCGCAAGUUCCCUUUAUUGCCCUCAUUGAGCGUUCUCGCUUCUCUUACACGACUGCCUUUCACGUAUGGCACGUCCCAGCGUGUUUGGCUAUGUCGAAGAGGAAU
rnacentral:misc_RNA from 1 species